rnacentral:rRNA from 1 species
CCUACGGGUGGCAGCAGUGAGGAAUAUUGGUCAAUGGACGAAAGUCUGAACCAGCCAUGUCGCGUGCAGGAUGACUGCCCUAUGGGUUGUAAACUUCUUUUAUAUUGGGGUAAACUGUUCCACGUGUAGGAUCUUGUAAGUAUCAUAUGAAUAAGGAUCGGCUAACUCCGUGCCAGCAGCCGCGGUAAUACGGAGGAUUCGAGCGUUAUCCGGAUUUAUUGGGUUUAAAGGGUGCGUAGGUGGUUUGUUAAGUUAGUGGUGAAAUGUUGGGGCUUAACCGGAAAAUUGCCGUUGAUACUGGUAGUCUAGAGAGCAGAAGCGGAGGGCGGAAUGAGUGGUGUAGCGAUGAAAUGCUUAGAUAUCACGAAGAACACCGAUUGCGAAGGCAGCUCGCUAAACUGCAACUGACACUGAGGCACGAAAGCGUGGGUAGCAAACAGGAUUAGAUACCCGAGUAGUC